rnacentral:misc_RNA from 1 species
GAUGAAGAACGUAGCGAAAUGCGAUAAGUAGUGUGAAUUGCAGAAUUCAGUGAAUCAUCGAAUCUUUGAACGCACAUUGCGCGCCUUGGUAUUCCAUGGGGCAUGCCUGUUCGAGCGUCAUUUGUACCUUCAAGCCUUGCUUGGUGUUGGGUGUUUGUCUCGCCUCUGCGCGCAGACUCGCCUCAAAACAAUUGGCAGCCGGCGUAUUGAUUUCGGAGCGCAGUACAUCUCGCGCUUUGCACUCAGAACGACGACGUCCAAAAGUACAUUUUUACACUCUUGACCUCGGAUCAGGUAGGGAUACCCGCUGAACUUAAGCAUAUCAAUAAGCGGAGGA